UAAUAAAGCUAACAUUUCUUCCUUUUUACUCCAAGUCUCUCAUCUACAAUGUAUUCUUUGUUCCAGGGUCUGAAUCAGACAGGUUCUCCUUUGAAAUCAAUAGAACACAUCACAGUUGGAAACAACAGAGAAAAUUUGGAGGAUACCUGGACAGUAAAGCUUGGAAAAUGGGCAGAAACCAGUAGUAGAUCAAAGAAAGGAAAUUAGACCUCUAGAUGCAUAUGCAUAAAGCAUUGGAUUCGGAGAGCCGCAGCCCAAGUAAAUGGAUAC
rnacentral:lncRNA from 1 species